ACUCCUUCAUUGCCUUCUACCUCGUUCCCGCACUGGAGCUCUCAGCCUUCAUCUUCCAUUGUCACUGCAGCCUUCACAACUGAGACCCCCAUUUGUGAUUAGUUGAGCUGACAGGGACAGGGAGUGGGGGGAGGUUUGGGAAGGAGGGACUAGAAUACCCUGAACCUCCAAAUGGCAAGUUUUGUCCUCCAUCACUCUAUCAUUUCCACUCCCCAAUGACACACACAGAGCAUGUAAUCACUCUCUCAAGUUCCAAAGUGAAUUAGAACUGAAAGGAGACCAGGGACAGGGGUAUUUCUUUUACACCCUUUCUCCGGUUUCCUCUGGGGAUGAGGGUGGCCGGGAGGAACAAUAGCUUCCUUUAGCUCCUCAUCCUGCCUCAGGUUAGAAAAGGCAGAGGGAGGAGGUAGAACACAGUAGAGAUGACAAAGACCCCUUCCCACGCAGGCAUGAGAAGGAAGGAGGAGGGGGGCUCAUCAGAGCGGGUUGUUAUUUUGGUCAUGGUAGUGGUGUCUCCAGACAGGGGCAGCACCCCCUUUUUGCUGCCUUUCCAGGGACAGCAGCAAAAGAAAGAAAGAGGCAAGCGAAAUUCCUGAAUGGAGAGACAGAUGCUACGUCAUCCGAGCUGCAUCCUCCCCUCCACAAGAGGCUAGGAGGCAGGGAGAGAGACGCAGUCCAGUCCAGCGGCAGGGGCCACUGAGCAGUCUCUCCUCUCAGAAGCCCGGAGCUGGGCAUCCGAGAAGAAGUCUCAUUUGUUUCUGGUGUCAUCGUAGGUGGCCACCUUCAAAUUUCGGGAUUCCGAGGGCAGACAUGGAGGCCAGUUGACCUGGGGGAGGUGGUUGGUUGCAGAAGGGAGGAGAGAUAUCUGUUCAUGGCUGACAGAGGUGAGAAAGGAGCGGUGUGUGGGUUGUGGUGGCUGGGCACCUAGGGAGCUGAAACCACUGUGAGUGGGGGAGUGUGCCAGGGCCUAGGCCUCGGGAGGUGGUUCUGUGUACCUCGGGAAGUACCUGUGGAGAUGUCAUCGCAUCUUUCUUAGAUGAUAGUUCGUGUGUGUGCACACGCGUGUGUAUCUGCAUGCACAGCAUCCUCACACGCUCCUGCUUUUGUCUUUCAAGGAGACCAUUUGCUGAUAGCUGACCCUUUACCAUCUCUGUCACCUUGUUCUCACCUCCCUGACUCCAGAGGGCUCUUAGGCAAGUGCACAGACUGUGGGUCCAAAGACAGAUAGGGCAGGCAGUGUUUACACGGGCCUGAAGAAUGCUCAAGCUGGCCUCUCAACAGCAGAAGGAAACACCCCCGGGGAGGGGAGAGUGGUGUCUCCAGGGAUGAAAUCUUUUGAUUUAUGUCUCCAUGCCCUCUAAUUUCAUCUAUCUGCCUAUGUGGAGAUUUAAAAAUACAUGAAUUUUUUCAUAGCUUCAUCAUUUUUAAUGCCAAUUCUUAUUUUUAUUGGUCACUAUUUCUUAGAUAACGCAAAUAUUCUAUAGCAAAAGAACAAUGUAUGAUAAUGUCUAUAGUAAUGAUGCACUUCUAAGACAGAAUAAAUACUUGAACCCGCCCUCCUCCAAAUGCAGCUUUCAUCUGUAUCAUUAAGGAAAUUAACCUGAUAAUUAAAAUAAAGAAAAAUAUGCUUUUUAUUUAAUUACUUGACUACUUCAAGAGAGUGACUUAAUAUCAAUGUGUAUUUUGGAACCCAAAUUAUAAAGAUCUGUCCAGCAGCUGCAUCUGAGAUCACAGUUCAGACGGUUCUCCUAUCCGGGGGCCUCUGCAGGCGCACAGACAACGGGCGGGCACGAGGAUCGGAGGGACCGGGUGGGGAUGGGCACUGGUGAAGAAUGAGGUCUCCUAGGCCGAGACAGUUAUAGACUGAGACCAGCACCAGGAAUUUGGGGUGCUCUCCGCAUAGUGCCCCAAAAUCUCCCUGCAAGGACUUGGGGUGGGGUGUGCAGACCAGCCCUCCCUGGAGCCCUACAGCGGACUGUGCUGCGUGCGGGAGGCAGAGGAAGAAAGGGCUCCAACUGAGGCCUUUCUAGGGAGACUGAGGCUGGUGUGCCAAGCACAGCGGGGACCUAACAUACCCAUUUUGCAACUUACAGGCCUGCUGUAUCCAAUUCUAGGUAGUAGAAGGGUUUCUUCUGGUCUAAGGAGCUGCCUAAUAGUCACUGACACAGGACACUCGAUAGACACAACCUCUCCC